AGAGGAAGAGGAACUGUGACUUAAAUCUUUGAUUUAUUCUUCAUUUCUUUAAGGUUGAAAGCUUGUUUUAUGCACUUGCGGUUAUUUUGAGUUGUUGAUUUGUGAUCACGAAGGAGGUUGCCCCGGAAGUUGGAAACAAUAUUAUGUUCUUUGAAGAUUAUUGAUGAAUUGAAUUGUGGAAAUGUGACUUAUGCGGUAAAAUGGUUUGAAUCUAGAACCCGUAGUAGCCCCAUUUGAACUAAUGGCUCUUGGUACAUUUGAAGUGUUUUUGGUAAAGCUUUGUUACAUAUAUUUCUGCAAAUUUUCAGUUGGUGUCAUAGUCUUUGUAACUAAAUGCAUGUGGUGAUUUUGGAGGUUUGACAACUUGGAUAAAUGACUCGUUUAGUCUUGUAAACUUGGUUUUGUA